UCCUCCGUGGCGCAAUUGGCUAGCGCGUCUGACUGUUAAUCAGGAGGUUGACAGUUCAAGCCUGUCCGGGGGAG
rnacentral:tRNA from 1 species